CGUGCUAAUACAUGCAGUGACGAUGAUUCUGGUACUGUAUCAGAUGAAGAGUAGCGAACGGGCGAGUAACGCGUGGGUAACCUACCUCUUAGCGGGGGACAACUAUUGGAAACGAUAGCUAAUACCGCAUAACAAUAUUAAACACAUGUUUAACAUUUGAAAGUACCAAUUGGUACACUAGGAGAUGGACCCGCGUUGUAUUAGCUAGUUGGUAGUGUAAUGGACUACCAAGGCGAUGAUACAUAGCCGACCUGAGAGGGUGAUCGGCCACAUUGGGACUGAGACACGGCCCAAACUCCUACGGGAGGCAGCAGUAGGGAAUCUUCGGCAAUGGACGAAAGUCUGACCGAGCAACGCCGCGUGAGUGAAGAAGGUUUUCGGAUCGUAAAACUCUGUUGUUAGAGAAGAACGUUGUGUAGAGUGGAAAAUUACACAAGUGACGGUAUCUAACCAGAAAGGGACGGCUAACUACGUGCCAGCAGCCGCGGUAAUACGUAGGUCCCGAGCGUUGUCCGGAUUUAUUGGGCGUAAAGCGAGCGCAGGUGGUUUAAUAAGUCUGAUGUAAAAGGCAGUGGCUCAACCAUUGUGUGCAUUGGAAACUGUUAGACUUGAGUGCAGUAGAGGAGAGUGGAAUUCCAUGUGUAGCGGUGUAAUGCGUAGAUAUAUGGAGGAACACCGGUGGCGAAGGCGGCUCUCUGGACUGUAACUGACACUGAGGCUCGAAAGCGUGGGUAGCAAACAGGAUUAGAUACCCUGGUAGUCCACGCCGUAAACGAUGAGUGCUAGUUGUUUGGGGCUAUCCAGCCCUAAGUGACGCAGCAAACGCAUUAAGCACUCCGCCUGGGGAGUACGACCGCAAGGUUGAAACUCAAAGGAAUGACGG
rnacentral:rRNA from 1 species